rnacentral:rRNA from 1 species
AUUGAACGCUGGCGGCAUGCCUUACACAUGCAAGUCGAACGGCAGCACGGGUGCUUGCACCUGGUGGCGAGUGGCGAACGGGUGAGUAAUACAUCGGAACGUACCUUAUCGUGGGGGAUAACGCAGCGAAAGCUGUGCUAAUACCGCAUACGCCCUGAGGGGGAAAGCGGGGGAUCGCAAGGCCUCGCGCGAUUAGAGCGGCCGAUGCCUGAUUAGCUUGUUGGUGGGGUAAAAGCCCACCAAGGCGACGAUCAGUAGCUGGUCUGAGAGGAGGAUAAGCACCACUGGGACUGAGACACGGCGCAGAGUCCUACGGGAGGCAGCAGUGGGGGAUUUUGGACAAUGGGGGCAACCCUGAUCCAGCAAUGCCGCGUGAGUGAAGAAGGCCUUCGGGUUGUAAAGCUCUUUUGUCAGGGAAGAAACACCGGCUCUAACACAGUCCGGGAAUGACGGUACCUGAAGAAUAAGCACCGGCUAACUACGUGCCAGCAGCCGCGGUAA